AGCAGCCGCGGUAAUUCCAGCUCCAAUAGCGUAUAUUAAAGUUGUUGCAGUUAAAAGCUCGUAGUUGAAUUUCGGGAUCAAUAUGUUGGUCGUGCCUCGGUACGUACUAGCUUAUUGGUUUCUCCUUUCUGAAGAACCAUGAUGUCAUUUAUUUGGUGUCGUGGGGAAUCAGGACUGUUACUUUGAAAAAAUUAGAGUGUUUAAAGCAGGCUCACGCUUGAAUACAUUAGCAUGGAAUAAUGAAAUAGGACGUUUGAUUCUAUUUUGUUGGUUUCUAGGAUCGACGUAAUGAUUAAUAGGGAUAGUUGGGGGCAUUAGUAUUCAAUUGUCAGAGGUGAAAUUCUUGGAUUUAUUGAAGACUAACUACUGCGAAAGCAUUUGCCAAGGAUGUUUUCAUUAAUCAAGAACGAAAGUUAGGGAUCGAAGACGAUCAGAUACCGUCGUAGUCUUAACCAUAAACUAUGCCGACUAGGGAUCGGAUGAUGUUAAUUUUUAAUGUACUCAUUCGGCG
rnacentral:misc_RNA from 1 species